rnacentral:rRNA from 1 species
GACGAACGCUGGCGGCGUGGAUUAGGCAUGCAAGUUGAGCGACGGUUAAGAGCUUGCUCUUAAUACGGAGCAGCGAACGGGUGAGUAACACGUGAACAAUCUGUCCCUUCAUUCCGGAUAAUUGGUCGAAAGGCCUUGUAAUACGGGCGAGGGUCUCCGAGAGGCAUCUUUUGGAGAAGGAAGGCGCAAGCCGUGCAGGGAGGAGUUCGCGGCCUAUCAGUUAGUUGGUGGGGUAANGGCCUACCAAGACGACGACGGGUAGCUGGUCUGAGAGGAUGGUCAGCCACAUUGGAACUGAGACACUGUCCAGACUCCUACGGGAGGCUGCAGUCGAGAAUCUUGGGCAAUGCACGAAAGUGUGACCCAGCGACGCCGCGUGAAGGAUGAAGGCCCUCUGGGUCGUAAACUUCUUUUAAGGGGGAAGAAUAAAUGACGGUACCCCUUGAAUAAGCCACGGCUAACUACGUGCCAGCCGCCGCAGUAAG